AUUGAACGCUGGCGGCAGGCCUAACACAUGCAAGUCGAACGGCAGCACAGAAGAGCUUGCUCUUUGGGUGGCGAGUGGCGGACGGGUGAGUAAUGUCUGGGAAACUGCCCGAUGGAGGGGGAUAACUACUGGAAACGGUAGCUAAUACCGCAUAACGUCGCGAGACCAAAGUGGGGGACCUUCGGGCCUCACACCAUCGGAUGUGCCCAGAUGGGAUUAGCUAGUAGGUGGGGUAAUGGCUCACCUAGGCGACGAUCCCUAGCUGGUCUGAGAGGAUGACCAGCCACACUGGAACUGAGACACGGUCCAGACUCCUACGGGAGGCAGCAGUGGGGAAUAUUGCACAAUGGGCGCAAGCCUGAUGCAGCCAUGCCGCGUGUAUGAAGAAGGCCUUCGGGUUGUAAAGUACUUUCAGCGGGGAGGAAGGCGGAGAGGUUAAUAACCUUGCCGAUUGACGUUACCCGCAGAAGAAGCACCGGCUAACUCCGUGCCAGCAGCCGCCGUAAAAC
rnacentral:rRNA from 1 species